GAAAUGCGAUAAGUAGUGUGAAUUGCAGAAUUCAGUGAAUCAUCGAAUCUUUGAACGCACAUUGCGCCCCUUGGUAUUCCAUGGGGCAUGCCUGUUCGAGCGUCAUUUGUACCCUCAAGCUCUGCUUGGUGUUGGGUGUUUGUCCCGUCUCCGCGCGUGGACUCGCCCCAAAGUGAUUGGCAGCCGGCGUACUGGUCCCGGAACGCAGCACAUGUCGCGCAAACGAGUGCCUUGGUACGGCGGCGUCCAUAAGCCCCUCUCUCACGCUCUUGACCUCGGAUCAGGUAGGGAUACCCGCUGAACUUAAGC
rnacentral:misc_RNA from 1 species